AAGCGACUGCAGUAAUGUGGCGCCGCCCCCUCUCCGUCCACGGCAAAAUGGCGACGGAGACCUGUGAUGCUGUGAACAUGGACCCCGACAUGGACCUGCUCAGCGACGAGGAACUAGAGAGGGAAGCCGAGGGCUUCAAGGAGCAAGGCAAUGCCUUCUACAUCAAAAAGGAUUAUGCUGAAGCCUACAACUAUUACACCAAGGCAAUAGACAUGUGUCCAAAGAAUGCGAGUUACUACGGAAACCGGGCUGCCACAUUAAUGAUGUUGUGCCGGUAUAGAGAGGCUUUAGAGGACUCCCAGCAAGCAGUGCGGCUAGAUAACUCCUUCAUGAAGGGCCAUCUGCGAGAGGGCAAGUGCCACCUGUCUCUUGGCAAUGCCAUGGCUGCCAGUCGCUGUUUCCAGAGGGUUCUGGAGCUGGAGCCCGAUAAUGGCCAGUGCCAGCAGGAGGUGAAGAUUGCAGAAUCCAUCCUUGAAUAUGAGAGAAUGGCAGAGAUUGGAUUUGAAAAGCGGGACUUCAGGAUGGUUGUCUUUUGCAUGGACCGUGCCUUGGAGACUGCCUCAGCCUGUCACAGGUUCAAGAUACUGAAGGCCGAGUGCUUAGCUCUGCUCGGCCGCUACCCAGAGGCUCAGUCUGUAGCCAGUGACAUUCUGCGAAUGGACUCCACUAAUGCGGAUGCCCUGUACGUCCGUGGUCUUUGUCUGUACUAUGAAGACUGCAUUGAGAAGGCCGUCCAGUUCUUUGUACAGGCUCUGCGUAUGGCUCCUGACCACGAUAAGGCCCGGCUCGCAUGCAGAGAUGCCAAAGCGCUAAAAGCCAAGAAGGAGGAAGGGAACAAGGCGUUCAAGGAGGGGAGCUUUGAGGCGGCCUAUGAGCUGUACUCUGCCGCACUCACGAUAGACCCCAACAACAUCAAGACUAAUGCCAAGUUGUACUGUAAUAGGGCCACUGUUGGAUCUAAGCUGAAGAAACUAGAUCAGGCCAUCGAAGACUGCACCAAGGCCAUUAAACUGGAUGAGACCUACAUCAAGGCCUAUUUACGGAGAGCCCAGUGCUACAUGGACACAGAGCAGUAUGAAGAGGCAGUGCGAGACUAUGAGAAAGUUUACCAGACAGAGAAAACAAAAGAACACAAGCACCUCCUGAAAAAUGCGCAGCUGGAGUUGAAGAAAAGCAAGCGAAAAGAUUACUACAAAGUGCUCGCGGUGGAUAAGAACGCCACGGAAGAAGAGAUCAAGAAAGCUUACCGCAAACGGGCCCUUUUACAUCACCCAGACCGCCAUAGCAGCGCAAGUCCUGAGGUGCAGAAAGAAGAGGAAAAGAAGUUCAAGGAGGUGGGCGAGGCUUUCAGCGUGCUUUCAGACCCGAAGAAGAAAUCUCGCUACGACAGCGGUCAGGAUCUGGAGGACGACGGCGGGAACAUGGGAGGUCAGAACCCGGGAAAGCCUUGGGGCGGGAGGUCUCAAGGGUGAACACAUUGACAUACAAGUCGUGCUUGAGCCAAUUUUGAUGCCAACAACAUUUUCAAGGCUUUUUUUGGAGGUCCAGGCGGUUUUAGUUUUGAAGCGUCUGGACCAGGAAAUUUCUUCUUCCAGUUCGGUUAAUUGGAGAAUUCGUCCACCUGAACAAAGCCCACAACAUGACUUUUCAACCCCCCAGACCAACCAGAUUCUUUUCUAUGCCACCUACUGAAAGAAUGCAACCCAAUGACCACAUGCAGCAAAUGAUAUAAUGCCCGUAUAGCAAGGAAGCCAUGAUGGCUCAGACCGAGUGGAUAGUGUUACUGGUUUUGGAUUUGGUUUUCUUCCUUCCAGAAUGAAACCAACUUGAAAGUCAGUAAUGGCUAAGAACACCGGUGCAAAUUAUUUCACAAUGUUUUGGAUUGUGCAGUUGUUGCAUCAGUGCUUUUAGGUAUCCAUGCAGGAUGUGACAUCCUGGGGAAACUCCUGGGAUUCAACAGAGCAUUGAACAAGCUAUCCAGCUCAUCCGAACUAAAUGCUGAGGGGCUUUGCUCUGCAUGAAAUUUAUUUGCCGAGCCAGCAGCACCUUCCCACUUUUGAAGAAUAUCAGUCAGACAGUCGGCUGACAUGAGUCCAUACUAAAAAAUGCUUGGUUUCAUAAGCCAAAAGCAUCACUUGAGCAUUUUUGAAUGAUACAAAGCAGCUGGAUCCUAGACCCACACGCAGAGUACAGCCGAAGCACACUUAAGAAAGAUGGCCGUGGAGACAGCCGCGCUGGCUUUGUUGCCGGCAAAGUCCCUCCCUCUUGUUGUCAAAGGUUUUGUGUUUGAUGUUGCCAUUCACAGAUUGCUGCAUUGUACAUUUUACUGGAAUGUAAAGUGUUGAUUUGUGAUGAUAUUUGAUAAUUUUUUUUCCUUUUUUAAAUUUUGCUAUGUAUAUUUAUUGUAAAUUUGCUGUCUGAUCGAACCGUCGGUGAAAGAUGAGGCCCCUAUUUCUGUUACGUAACAGUUUGCACCUAUCGCGAGCAUCACUUUGACGCAAAUUCAGGAAGAUGGUCUGCAUGAAAUGCACAGAAAACAUUACGCUCUUUGUGUUCCUUGACAGCAACCCAAGCUGUUCAUCCGUUUUUAUAUUCCUAUAUAUUAAUAUUACUCAAAGCAGCACCUUAAGCAUAGUAAUAGAUUAAUGGCGUGAUAUGCAGAAAGUGGGGCACGGUAUGACCUUGAAAGCUAUGAUGUUCAGUUGCUUCCUGAUGAGUGUGUUGUUCUUUUAGUGCACUUACUGAAGAAAAAGAAAAGCCUCCUCUUUGCUCUGAUUGUUUUUGCCCUUAUGGUGAAACCUUCCUCUCUUAAAAGUUAAAGCCAUUUCAAUAAAGUUGGCCUCUAGAUUUA